UACGAAGGGGGCUAGCGUUGUUCGGAAUUACUGGGCGUAAAGGGCGCGUAGGCGGCUCUGAUCGUCGGAUGUGAAAGGCCUGGGCUCAACCUGGGAAUGGCAUCCGAUACGGCGGGGCUGGAGUGUGGGAGAGGUUGGUGGAAUUCCCAGUGUAGAGGUGAAAUUCGUAGAUAUCAGGAGGAACACCCGUGGCGAAAGCGGCUCUCUGGGACGGUACUGACGCUGAGACGCGAAAGCGUGGGGAGCGAACAGG
rnacentral:rRNA from 1 species